rnacentral:rRNA from 1 species
UGGGGAAUUUUGGACAAUGGGGGCAACCCUGAUCCAGCAAUGCCGCGUGAGUGAAGAAGGCCUUCGGGUUGUAAAGCUCUUUUGUCAGGGAAGAAACGGUGAGCGCUAAUAUCGCUUGCUAAUGACGGUACCUGAAGAAUAAGCACCGGCUAACUACGUGCCAGCAGCCGCGGUAAUACGUAGGGUGCAAGCGUUAAUCGGAAUUACUGGGCGUAAAGCGUGCGCAGGCGGUUUUGUAAGACUGUCGUGAAAUCCCCGGGCUCAACCUGGGAAUGGCGAUGGUGACUGCAAGGCUAGAGUUUGGCAGAGGGGGGUAGAAUUCCACGUGUAGCAGUGAAAUGCGUAGAUAUGUGGAGGAACACCGAUGGCGAAGGCAGCCCCCUGGGUCAAAACUGACGCUCAUGCACGAAAGCGUGGGGAGCAAACAG